rnacentral:rRNA from 1 species
UACGUAGGGGGCAAGCGUUGUCCGGAAUCAUUGGGCGUAAAGCGCGUGUAGGCGGCCCGGUAAGUCCGCUGUGAAAGUCGGGGGCUCAACCCUCGAAUGCCGGUGGAUACUGUCGGGCUAGAGUGCGGGAGAGGCGAGUGGAAUUCCUGGUGUAGCGGUGAAAUGCGCAGAUAUCGUAAGGAAGACCAGUGGCGAAGGCGGGUCUCUGGACAGUUCCUGACGCUGAGGCACGAAGGUCAGGGGAGCAAACGGG